GCUAGCAGGGAAUCCUGGUAAUUUUGAACAAUUUCAGUUCUUUUCUUCUCCAUUGCCUGUUCCUUGCCUAGUUAUGAAUAAAACAAAAGGUGAACUUUGGUUUAAUAUUAGAAACCAACCAGUCAAACUAAUUUUUAUGUCCAGGCAGACCUACACUAAAACAGUCGAGCCUGCAUUUAAUUAGACAUUUUUAUUCAGUUCCACCUUCUUGUUUUGUGUUUCAAAAUUUACCAAACAGCUAACUCAUAACCACACGAAGCCUACAUUUAAUACCAUACACAUGUAUGACUAUGAGAACGUGUUUUCGAUAGAGUGGAAAAAUCUAUCCCAAGUUACAUUUAUUCAAAAGAAAAUUUAAUUCUAAAAACGUUAAGAUCGAAACAUGGCUGCUGUCACGUGGCUUACAGUAGCAAAUAAGAAAAGAGUGAUAGGUCACAGAUCCAGAAAGUUUGGGGUUAUUUGACACCCUAUCGUUAAUUAGUAUGAAAAUAUAGAGGGCGUCUUAAAACCAAGAUGGCGAAGUAGCCACUUUUCACUACUUUUUGUAAAACAUGCGAUCACAAACUGGUCUAGGCCUAGAGUAAGUUGCUAAUUUUCGACCACUUAGGCCUAGGUUUUCGACCCCCCCCCAUUUCCCGACCCCUAAAUUUAAUAACGAUUUUUUAAUUAUCCAUUUCUAUGUCACUGGUAAAAUUAUAUCCCUUUACGAUGUAACAGCGUGAAGCACUGACCCUCAAACAAAGCUGUCCGCAAAACAACUUUUUAUUUUUUUAUGAAUUUGUAGUUGGAAGGUAUGAGUUAGCCUCGGCCUAGCCUAUAUAUUUAUGCAUCUGUUAAAAUUAGAUUCCUGUAAGUCAUUGUCCAUAAGUCCGAAAAUUAUGUUGUUUUAAUCAUUUAGGCCUAGGCCGAACAUUAGCGACUAGGUCUAGGUCUAAAUUUUGUAUACUUUUAUUUUAGUUAAAAGGAUAAUUUACAGUCAAUUAGGCCUAGCUGGCUAGGUCCUAGGCCUUUAAAAUUAACUAUUGUCUAACAUUUCUAUUUUAUUGUUAUGUGAAUAAAUUUUUAAUUCCAAGAAACGAAAAUAAACACUGACUGUCGAAAACUAACACUCAAAAACUAGCCUAUAGAGGGGUGUCAAAAACUAGCGUAAAAUCGAUAAAAGGAUGAUUACAUUUUUAUAGGCAGGAUUCAAUUUGAUUUUAUAAAGUUUUAGUUGAAAGGUACGUAUGAUGAGUUACAUGCAUCUGUUAAAAUUAGAUCCUGUGAUUCUAUUGUCCAAAAGUCAGAAAAUUACGAUAUUUUUAGUACUAGGCCCAGGCCUAGUAGGCUAGGCCUAUACGGAAAAUCGGGCAGUCCAAAACUUACCAAAAUCUAAUGCAGUGGCUGGUGACAUUUCUAAUUCUUCCCACGGGAAAUCGAAAACACUAUUUACAGCACUUUUUAGGUUGUUGUUGCUGCGAGAAACUUUAUUUGUUUGCAAGAUUUGGUAACAGGGAUUACGUCCCAGGUGGGUGGCGCCUCGAUCCACUUAAUAAGAACAAAUAACGUUCUCAUCAUGUACCAAUUUGCUGUAUAUAAUGUGACGACGAUGCAACAACAUACAAUAGGUCCACCUCAAACUAAAGUACUUCAUCAUCUGCUGAGGAGGAAAGCCCGCGGUAUCAUCCGGUUUCAACUGGUUGUGUGUGCCAAUCAUCACGCUAGUCCUCUUAUCUGAUUGGUUGAAAGUAUUAAGCGUCAUAGUUUUUGUUGUCCUCCGGCCGGCGGCAAUUGCCACUAAACUUUGAACCUAGGCUAGGCAAGACUUUUUACCUUGAUUUUAAUUCGCGAACCUUUUUUUGUUAAUAAAGACAGUCAAGAGGAAAGCGGAGAAAUCAAAUAAAAUAUUGAUUGUUUAGAAAAAUAAUUUUUCAAACAAUUCUAGGUUAUAAAUAAAAUAAAAUUUUAUUAAUGAAUUAAACAAUGUAGGCCUGGUGAUGACAUAUAAUUGUAAAUUAAUCCUGCUAGGCCUGGUAUGAUGAUAGGCCUUUCCUUUCUAUGACAGCCUCGUCUACGCCUAGGCCUAAGUAAUAAUUCCAUUUUUUAGCUGAUAGGUAGCCUACACUAAACUUUCUAAAAAUUAUAUUUUUUUUUCAAAUAUUAGAAACAACCAUUCUUGGCGGUCGAUAGUUCGUUAAACAAUGUAUAUUCUUAUUAAUAUUAAAAAAUAUCAUUUGCAAAAAAAAAAAAUAUCAGAGGGUGGAGAUUGCAUGUGGUGUGGUGUGGGUUGAAAUCAUUAUUAUCAAAAAGCAUAGCGCGGUGUUAUUUAUGAAUAAACCAGAAUGUCUUCCUGUUUGAAGAGACAACAUUUGAAAUGUAUGUUAUAUGAUGACAUUAAAGCCAAGAAAAAAGUAGUAAGAUCUUCUAGGCCUAGUCCUACAACAACUGCUGAAUUAUCUGUUGAAGAAGACUGAAACUGAAGAUGAAUAUUAUUGGCCUCGUAGCAGUAGGCCAAAAAGGCAUAAGCCUAAUCUUAGGCCUACUCUACUACGGGUAGGCCUACUCAUGGGCUGCCUCCUAGUCCUUAGUAGUACUAGUACUAUAACUAGGCCUAAUACUAUAGUAGUAUGCCUCGGCCUAUUUCUACCAAUAUGCGUCGGCGCAGUAAACAUCCUCCCCGGCCAAGGCCUGGUGCUACUAUUAUUAGUGACAGUGAUUCUCCUAGUAGUAGUACUAGGCCUAGGUCUGAUGCCUUGAAUGCUAUAUUAACUAAGCAUUGGCCUAGUUCUAGUACUGCUAGUAGUAAGAGUAAUACCACCUUAAGCUAUAUGCAUAAUGAUGAUACCAAGCCUCCAUCAGAUGAUAUAAGCCUAGGCCUACAUAGGGCUACCACCAAUGCAAGUGGCAGUACUACUUCUUGUAGUAGUAGGCCUCCCCGUAAUAUUCUGAAUGUCAACGAUAGAAAACAUUUUGACGAAGACCAUUUCUGUGAAUUGGAAAAUGAACCAAUAAAGAAUGUGUUAUGUGAUACCCUGAAUUGCGAAAGUGAAGUAAACGAUUAUCAUUUUAAUGAGGGCUCCACAAAGUCAAGUGCACAAUCUUCGGAAAAUCAAUAUUUGCAAUUCCAGAGUGCAGACAUUGACAAUAUUGAGGAUUGUGAAAACCUUCAACAAGAUGUUAAUGAAUUGGAUCAUCAGUUGUACAAUGGCAGUUCUAUUACAAGAAGAGAGAGCCUGCUACUAAUAUUUUCCCACAUAAUCAGGCUUAAUACAAGUGGAUCUGCACUAAAUAGCUUGUUAAAUUUAAUCCAAUUUCAUCUGCCAGACAAUACAUACUUUCCAGCUAGUAAAUACCUGUUUGAGAAACAUUUUAAUGGUACAGGUGAGACAAUUCAAUAUCACGCAUUUUGCCCUCAAUGUAUAUGUUACAUUGGGCAAAAGAACAUGGAUUGUAGUAAUUGUGGAAAGGAAGUGUUGUUGGAGGAGUGCUUAAAAAGUGGCAACUAUUUCAUUAUAUUUGACAUCAAAGAGCAACUUCUCAAUAUUUUGAAUGAUGCAGACACAGCGAAACACCUUUGGAUUGGUACCAAACGCAAGUCAUGUGAUUCCUUCAGGCAAACUAUAUCGGUAAUUACCCCUUGGAAAUGAUGAUAUAACAGUGUCAUGAAAUACUGAUGGUGUUAAAGGUGUUUAACUCAUCAAAAUACAGAAUUUGGCCUUUGCAGAUGAUGGUCAAUGAACUACCUUAUCACCUAAAAAGAAAAAAUAUCUUCCUUGCCGGGCUCUGGUUUGGACGCUUGAAGCCAGACAUGAAAACUUUUUUGAAGCCCAUGGUAUCAGCAAUGAACAAACUAUCAGUGGAUGGCCUUGAAUGGGCAGAUGUAAAUGGCAAUCAUAAAACAAAGCAUGGCUUUGCAACCGGAAAAUCGUGCCAGACUACUCCUGCAACAGCGUACAAUCACUGGUCUGGGGUUCUUGAUGUCAGAUGCCCUCCUCCAAUUGAUGCCAUAUGCCUCGAUUUUAGCAAGGUAUUUGACCUUAUAAGCCAUCAAAUUCUGACAGAGAAGCUUCAUCAGUACGGGGUCUGUGGCUCUGUCUUGAAAUGAAUGUCGUCUUUUCUUUCCAAUCGUUACCAAAAAGUCAAUUUCAGGGGGGUUUCUUCUAACACUUGCUCCGUUUCUUCUGGGGUUCCGCAAGGUAUUGUUUUAGGCCCAAUUCUCUUUUAAUAUUUUUGUUCUUGCUUCAUCUACUAUUUUGCAAUAUGCUGACGACACCCUGAUUUAUAGAGUCAUAAAAUCUCCUGCGGAUGGAGCUUCUCUGCAAAACGAUCUCAACAAUGUAUACCCAUGGAGUGUUGAAAAAAAGUUGCACUUAAAUCCAAGCAAGUGUAGCACCAUGCGGAUUACUAGAUCUAGCAAACAUUCCAAUAAUGAAAUUGAGUAUUUUUUAGGUUCUGAGGGUAUCAAAAUGGUGGACUCUUUUAAAUACAUUGGUAUUAUUAUCUCAUCUGAUCUUAGUUGGGAUAAACAUGUAUCAUCUAUCAAACAAACUUACUGGAUUUAUCAGAAGGAUUGUCCGAUGUAGAAAUCAUAAUGCCAUUAUAAAAUUAUUUAAAACUAUUGUCCGACCAAUUAUUGAGUAUGAUAUCCCAUCAUGGCUUCCUCACCAAAAGGGUCAUAUCUCCUCACUCGAGAAAAUCCAACGAAGGAUUACUCGUUCUUGUUUUCAUCCCUCCUUGAAUUUAUCAUAUACGCAAAGACUUGGUAUCCUUGGUUUAUGUUCUGUUGAGGAUCGUUUUAAGCUUCUCUCUAUUUCAUUUGUCACGAAGUGCAUUUAUGGUAAAUAUAAGUUUCCAAUCUUCAACCUUAUUAAAAUUAAUCUUAGACGUUAUAAUUUAAGUGAUUUCAAAUUUAUUUAUAAUUUUGCCAGGACUUAUUGUUUCAAAAACUCUAUUUGUAAUUAUUUUCCACAUCUUUGGAAUGAUUUGCCUACUAAUGUGCUUGAUAAACUUAUUUUAAAUUUUGUAUAUUUUUAUAAAGCAUUGAAAGAUUAUUUUAAGGGCUGAUUUUGAUAUUUAUAUUCAUAUAAAUUUAUAUAUUUUGUGUCUGUCUGUCUGUUUUUUUUUUGUUAGGAAAUCCACUUGACACUUGAUUUAGUUCUCCUUGUGGAUUUCCUGUCUCUUCGUCUUUUUUGUGUAUGAUAUUUUAUGUGAAUUGUAUUUUUUUGAGACAAAUAAAUGAAAUGAAAUAGAAAACCUGCCUGCCAACCUGACCAGAACUGCUCAUUUGACUGCUGAACUUUUUAACAAACACUUUGCUAAGAUAUGCCAGAAAUUUCCAGCACUUGACUAUAGUUCAUUACCAGCAUACUGACCUGCUGAGUCUCCUCCCAACUAUUUAUAAAGGUCAGGUUCUAAAACAACUAAAUAAGCUUGACACGAGUAAAUCCACACACCCAUCUGAUAUACCUUUAAGGCUAAUUAAAGAGUUUGCUCCCGAGUUAACUGUUCCCUUAUGUAUGCUUUUUAAUUUAGCUAUAAGACAGGGUGUUUUCCCCGAGUCCUGGAAAACUGCUACGUUGGUACCAAUACCUAAGGUUCCAAAGGUGUCCACAAUAGAUGACUUUCGACCUACUGUAUAGCCCUUACCGAUUUUUG